rnacentral:ncRNA from 2 species
GAAGACAAAGAUCGCGUCGGUUCCCCGGAGACGGGGAUUAAAAUGGGAACGCGGUGAGGAUGGCUUAGGUCAUCCAAAUCCGAGGCUGUCCCUGCAACUGUAAGUGGCGAGCGCGAUAUACAGGCGCGGACGGCUUUAUGACCGAUCCGCCAGCCACUGGGCCGGACGCUAAAUCCUGCGAGGCCUGGGAAGGCCGUAUAUCAAGCGAUGACCCAUGAGCCAGGAGACCUGCCGGCGUCUGGUCGCUCUU